CCAAGCUGGGGGAUUACUCCCCCAGAAUUUAAGACCUCUCAGCUGCCCUGUGAUACACCCACAGCAUCCUGAGAAAACUCGGAGGAGAGCAGGCACAUGAAGGUCCCAAGGUAUGUGUAUGUGCGUGUGGAGUGGGUAUGUACAGGUGCCCAAGGAAGCCAGAAGCAUCAGCGUUCCUGCAGAUGGCUUGACAGGCCGUUGUGAGCCACCUGAUAUGGAUGCUGGGAACCAAACUUGAAUCCUCUGCAAGAGAAAAAAGUAGUUGCUCUUAGCUGCUCUGUGUACUCUCCACGUCGUGAACAUCCCAGCCUCAUAAGAAGGAAGCAAGAGCCCAAAGUCAACAACCUCGAAAUUCAACAUGAGUUGCCCUCAAUAGCUCCUUUCUCUCAGAAUUCAAGAGUUCAGCUGAAUUCUGAAUCCCUUCUGGGAAGCAGCAGCCUCUGGCCCACGCCGCAGCUUUGGAUCUGGACAGUUGGCUCUAGCAUUCGGUAUUUGGGAGAAUAUUUGUCUGAUAAUGAAUACAUAAUUAGAAAGGAAUGGAUAUCCCCAGUGAGUUCGCAUUCAUUUUGCAACCCCUAAACUACAAUCAAAGGACUAAUAUCACAUAGUAAUUCAAUAUUGAUUCCAAAGAGACUGGAGCUGGGACAAAGCAAGAUAGCAGCAGAAGCACCAGGAAUGGCCCAUUCCUAAGGAGAAUGAUUUGUAACUACAUUCUGAAGCCUUUCAAAUGUAUUUUCCAAAUCCUUCUGGAGCACCUAACAUGUAGUUUCUAGGUUUUGUUUGCUUUAUGGUUGCUGGGAAUUGGAUGUAAGACAUACUAGGUUUUACUACAUCUCCCUGGGUGUCCUGGAACUUCCUACGUCUGAUCUUGACCUCAGAAAUCCACCUGCCUCUGCUGAGACUAAGGGCAUCUGUACUGGCUGGUAUUGUGUCAACUUGACACAGGCUGGAGUUAUCACAGAGAAAGGAGCUUCAGUUGGGGAAGUGCCUCCAUGAGAUCCAGCUGAGGGACAUUUUCUCAAUUAGUGAUCAAGGAGGGCAGGUCCCUUGUGAGUGGUGCCAUCUCUGGGCUGGUAGUCUUGGGUUCUAUAAGAGAGCAGGCUGAGCAAGCCAGGGGAAGCAAGCCAGUAAGAAACAUCCUCAUGGCCUCUGCAUCAGCUCCUGCUUCCUGACCUGCUUGAGUUCCAGUCCUGACUUCCUUUAGUGAUGAACAGCAGUGCAGAAGUGUAAGCUGAAUAAACCCUUUCCUUCCCAACUUGCUUCUUGGUCAUGAUGUUUGUGCAGGAAUAGAAACCCCGACUAAGACAGGCAUUUGUCAUCACGCCUGGCCACACACUAACAUUUUAUGGAUAUUUCCUUCUGUUCUUUCCAUGGGCACAGACUUAGUCAUUUAACACAGUUAAAACUCAUUCUGA